UGCGCCCGGCACGGGCGCAAACGCUAGGGUGAAAGUCCCGAACGCAUCUGACGAACAGGAAGCGAAUCAGGUGUUUGGAUGUGAGUGAGUUUGCAUAAUAAAACAAAGGCCUAAACUAUCCGAAACAUCCCGCUCUACAUUCGGCAGGUAUAAGAAAAAACGGUUUUGGA
rnacentral:ncRNA from 1 species